GGAAUGAAUAGCAGUAGCUAAUUGCACAUAAAUAUGAUGCAAUAUCGACUCAGUCGAAUAAAAUUCUGGGUAGAAUUAUGAUAAUGACAUUUUCUGCUCAUGUGUCUUGGCUAAAUUACGUGCCAGCAGCCGCGGUAAUACGUAGAAGACUAGUGUUAUUCAUCUUUAAUAGGUUUAAAGGGUACCUAGACGGUAAAUCGAGCCCUAUACGGGACUAAUUUGCUAGAGUUACUUACGCGGGGGUUAUAACGUACUAAUGGUGUAGAGAUAAAAUUUUGUAAUACCACUUUCGAGAGGAAGAUAUGGCACUGGUAAAGGCGAAAGCAUCCCCUUAUGUGAUAACUGACGUUGAAGGACGAAGGCUUUGGAUCGCGAAUAGGAUUAGAUACCCUAGUAGUCAAAGGAGAGAAUUAUGAGUGUCAUAGAUUAGAAAUAUAUUUUUAUUCUAUAAAUGAAAGUGUAAGCACUCCACCUCAAGAGUAAUUUGGCAACAUUGGAACUGAAAUCAUUAGACCGUUUCUGAAACCAGUAGUGAAGUAUGUUGUUUAAUUUGAUAAUCCGCAAAAAACCUUACCAUCAGUAUGAAUGUCCACACGUCCCCGUGUGGAUACAAGCGUUGCACGGCUGUCUUCAGUUAAUGUCGUGAGACUUUGGUUAGAUCCAUUAAAUUAACGCAAGCCCUUACUUUAUUUUAAUAUAAAGUCGUUCUCCACUAUAUUGGAUAUGAUAACAGGGACUAAGACAAGUCAUCAUGGCCUGUAUGCUGUGGGCUAUAGACGUGCCACAUAGACCUUUACAAAAGGAUGUGAAAUUGUGAAAUUGAACUAUCCC
rnacentral:rRNA from 1 species